UACGUAGGGUGCAGGCGUUUAAUCGGAAUUACUGGGCGUAAAGCGUGCGCAGGCGGUUUGCUAAGACAGGUGUGAAAUCCCCGGGCUUAACCUGGGAACUGCGCUUGUUACUGGCAGGCUUGAGUGUGGCAGAGGGGGGUGGAAUUCCGACGUGUAGCAGUGAAAUGCGUAGAGAUGUGGAGGAACACCGAUGGCGAAGGCAGCCCCCUGGGCUAACACUGACGCUCAUGCACGAAAGCGUGGGGAGCAAACAGG
rnacentral:rRNA from 1 species